UUGUGUUUAUGAUUGUUGAUAUAUGCUAUUUGUUGCUAUAUAUUGCUUUUGAGUUUUUCAAGAGUCGAAGAAAAAUGACUUUUAAGAACGGGAAUCUGUUUGUCGUUUAACCAUCCGAAUUGCUGCUCUGGUCGUAUGAUCGAUGUUGAGAAUAUCUUUUUCUGGUCGUUUAACAUUAUUGUCCUAUUGGAUUAAUUCCAUGUACAUAUAAAUUAUAUAUAUACCCAGGUUAUUAAUUUCAUGUUUUUAUGGUGCAUAUUGACUGAGAAUGGUAGCAUCUAAUGGCUGAAUCAGCAAACAUGUUGAAGACAGUAGAGGAUCUUGAAGUUUCAAGAAAGUAUUGGUCUUUUUAUAAGAUUCAACCCCCCACCAAAAUAUAUAUUGGGGUUAAAAUAUAAGGCCUUGUUUCUACAUUUGGAGCCUCCUAUGUUACUAGAAACAAAGGACGUCGAGCCAGCAUCGUUGUUGGUGCAGUCAGCUUCUUCCUAGGAGGAGCUAGCAAUGCAGGUGCGGUGAAUAUCACAAUGUUGAUCAUAGGACGCAUUCUUCUUGGUGCGGCAUCUAAAUGUGUUUGGUAUUUUAGGAAUCCAACAUUUAUUGAUGCACUUAGAGAUUUGGAUGAUCCUCUUACAAUGGUGCACCUGUUUGCAAUGUUAACUUUGAAUCUUUGAAUCUUUGGAUUUAGGAUUUGUUUGAAUUAUCCUUCUAAUUAGUUACUUUUCUCAUUUCCUACUGGAUAGAAAUGUGUUUGACUCUGGAUAUUUUCAUCAUUUCUGGCAAGAAUGCUUGAUUUUUAUUACAGUCUGAUUAUGGUUUUA